UCCCACCUGAUGGAGACGUACGGGGAACUCAUGCAGGCCAGGCAACAACUGAAAGAUCUCGUCACGAAACGCUACCUCAGAUCCCUACAACAUUCCAAGGGGUUCUUCUAUGCUCAUGCCAACAAGGGAGGGAAAUACCUGGCGCGUCUCUUGAAAGGAAAUGCCCCCCGCACGCAGGUCCGCAACUUACGCCCCUCGUCAGGCACCACGACGACCUUCCCGAACGAGAUAGCGGGAGAAUUCAGGAAAUACUACCACUCGCUUUAUAAUAUACAUGUAACUGAUGGAAAUGACGACUCAGA